rnacentral:lncRNA from 1 species
GGCGGGGCCGGCGGCUUGGAGGCGGGGUCCCGGGCGAGCCGCCCUGGGAGGCGGGGGCCGUUUCCAUAGCGGCGGCAGGAGGUGUCGCGCCGGGGAACUUCCUGGUUCCCGGGCUCGGCUUCGCCGGGAUUAUCUUGGAAGGGAAACAAUGGGGCGGAGGGCACUGCGGUAGCCGCUCGCCGCACCGCCCGACCUGCUCGGCCGCCUGGGACUGCGCGCUCCGCCUGCUGCCCGUAACCUCCGCCGGGACCGUCCGGAGAAUGAGAAGACAUUACCUGGGAAUCUGUCCUGACAUACAUGGUGGAACUAAGGAACUGAGAAUCUGAAUUGAGAGGAAGAAUAGGACAUGUAUUCCUCUGAGAAACCCUGGACAGUAGAUUUUGGUUUAAUAGUGGAUUGGGACAACAUACAGAGACAUUUCCAGUCAUGAGUAAGUGUUCUGUUUUGUUUCAUUUCUGUUGUCUCAGGAGCAUUUGUAGUGUGGUACUUAAAAAAAAAAGUAUUACUAGAUAAAUUGGAAGUAUGUCACUUCUUCAGAGAAUAAUCUGGUUCCUCCC